AGGGCUUGACAUGCGGGGUGAAGCCGUGGAAACACGGUCCUCCUACGGGAGCCCGCACAGGUGCUGCAUGGCUGUCGUCAGCUCGUGCCGUGAGGUGUUGCCUUAAGUGGCGCAACGAGCGCAACCCCUUUUCCUAGUUGCCAGCGGGUAAUGCCGGGAACUCUAGGGAGACUGCCGGUGCCAAACCGGAGGAAGGUGGGGAUGACGUAGACCUUGGACC
rnacentral:misc_RNA from 1 species